rnacentral:rRNA from 1 species
UACAGAGGUCCCAAGCGUUGUUCGGAUUCACUGGGCGUAAAGGGUGCGUAGGCGGUCGGGUAAGUCUGAUGUGAAAUCUCACAGCUUAACUGUGAAACUGCAUUGGAUACUAUCCGGCUCGAGGACUGGAGGGGAGACUGGAAUACUUGGUGUAGCAGUGAAAUGCGUAGAUAUCAAGUGGAACACCAGUGGCGAAGGCGAGUCUCUGGACAUUUCCUGACGCUGAGGCACGAAAGCCAGGGGAGCAAACGGG